UACGGAGGGGACUAGCGUUGUUCGGAAUUACUGGGCGUAAAGCGCACGUAGGCGGAUUGUUUAGUCAGGGGUGAAAUCCCGAGGCUCAACCUCGGAACUGCCUUUGAUACUGGCAAUCUCGAGUCCGGAAGAGGUGAGUGGAAUUCCUAGUGUAGAGGUGAAAUUCGUAGAUAUUAGGAAGAACACCAGUGGCGAAGGCGGACUCACUGGUCCGGUACUGACGCUGAGGUGCGAAAGCGUGGGGAGCAAACAGGG
rnacentral:rRNA from 1 species